GAUGAAGAACGUAGCGAAAUGCGAUAAGUAAUGUGAAUUGCAGAAUUCAGUGAAUCAUCGAGUCUUUGAACGCACAUUGCGCCCCCUGGUAUUCCGGGGGGCAUGCCUGUCCGAGCGUCAUUGCUGCCCUCAAGCACGGCUUGUGUGUUGGGCCCCCGUCCCCGGUUUCCCCCGGGGACGGGCCCGAAAGGCAGCGGCGGCACCGCGUCCGGUCCUCGAGCGUAUGGGGCUUUGUCACCCGCUCUGUAGGCCCGGCCGGCGCCAGCCGACACCCAACUUCAUUUCUAAGGUUGACCUCGGAUCAGGUAGGGAUACCCGCUGAACUUAAGCAUAUCAAUAAGCGGAGGA
rnacentral:misc_RNA from 1 species